GUUGCCGCUGGAGCCGGACAAGAUAAGGCUUGCCUUACCUGGUGACGUACUGGCUAGGAGAGUGCAAGCUUCCGCCCACACGUACCAGAUGGUCCCAUCAAGGACGUUGUCGUACCGACUGCCGAUGAUCUACAGGUCAGUUUUUCCUUAGCUUCUGUUAUUAGUCUUUUUUUUCCUAUGAAUCGUUCGACUCGUGGUUGCUUCUACAAAAUAGCUCAUCUUUUAGCUUGAAAUGUUACCAUGAAACUUAUCCCCUUUAUUCACUUAAACAAUUUAUGAUGGUGGUUUGGGUACCAAGCUCAGUUGUUUUUUUAUAAAAUGAUUACAUGGUCCAAUAUUUCAGUUAUGUUACAUAUAUUCGUUUUUUAUGUUUUUCUGAACCUUAUACUUCCCUGUAUUUAUUUUUGUUUGGCUAUGAACAACCCAAGAGAUGAAGAUGUUGAAUUUGCUUCAAACUACUACUGUAAAUUUAGAAGCUUCCUAGAUUGCAUCCUAGCUUAGUUGAUCCAGGGCUUAAGCUAUAUACCAAAAUAACACUGAGAUGAGUUCUGUCAGAAGUACGUUGAGCCUUUUUAUUUUUAUUCUGUUUUGCGCACUCAUUUAAUGCCACUUGGAAUCUGAAGUAGAAAAUAUCAUAAAGAGCUUGAUGACUUAUAACAUUACCUGUCACAGUAUAUUAAAGGGUUUUUAGGUGACCAAUUAGGAAAUAAUUAAUUUUGAGUGCUUAAAUAUUGUUACAGUGCGUCAUAUAAGUUACCAAAAAAUUGUAAUUGGGAUAUCAAGGCUUAAAUGGACAAGUCCCAUAAAUAAUAAACUUACCCCUCAUAUACUGGUUGUUGGUAAACCAACCACUAAGAUUUUGAUUCAGUGUUUGCCUAAAGAAAUUACUCCCCCAUUUUGAUUUCAUCAAUUUUUUGAACAGCUCAGGCCAUUUUUGUCGUUGUAUGACAAGGCUGCCGAUGUCAUCACUGAGCCGCCUUCUUUGCUUCAGAGGCUUAUUGUUCUGCUAUAGAUCUCUGUCUCUUAUCCACUCACCCAUUGUACUGCAGGUUUGUGUUCUUGGGUUUUUAUAUCUCGCUUCUUCUUUUUAGUGAGC
rnacentral:lncRNA from 1 species